CAGUCGCCGCGGUAAUACGUAGGUGGCAAGCGUUGUCCGGAAUUAUUGGGCGUAAAGGGCUCGCAGGCGGUUUCUUAAGUCUGAUGUGAAAGCCCCCGGCUCAACCGGGGAGGGUCAUUGGAAACUGGGAAACUUGAGUGCAGAAGAGGAGAGUGGAAUUCCACGUGUAGCGGUGAAAUGCGUAGAGAUUAGGAGGAACACCAGUGGCGAAGGCGGCUUUUUGGCCUGUAACUGACACUGAGGCGCGAAAGCGUGGGGAGCAAACAGGAUUAGAUACCCGCGUAGUCCCUGUCUCUUAUAC
rnacentral:rRNA from 1 species